CCAAAGCUUAACUUGGAACUGCAAUUAAAACUGCUCGACUAGAGUUUGAUAGAGGAAAGCGGAAUACAUAGUGUAGAGGUNAAAUUNGUAGAUAUUAUGUAGAACACCAGUUGCGAAGGCGGCUUUCUGGAUCAACACUGACGCUGAGGCGCGAAAGUAUGGGUAGCAAAGAGGAUUAGAUACCCUCGUAGUCCAUACCAUAAACGAUGAUUGCUAGAUGUUGGAAAUUUAUUUUCAGUAUCGCAGCUAACGCAUUAAGCAAUCCGCCUGGGGAGUACGACCGCAAGGUUAAAACUCAAAUGAAUUGACGGGGACCCGCACAAGCGGUGGAGCAUGUGGUUUAAUUCGAAGAUACGCGCAGAACCUUACCAACCCUUGACAUGUCUGUCGCGAGUUUAGGAAACUAGACUUUUCGGUUCGGCCGGACAGAACACAGGUGCUGCAUGGCUGUCGUCAGCUCGUGUCGUGAGAUGUUGGGUUAAGUCCCGCAACGAGCGCAACCCCUACUUUUAGUUGCCAUCAGGUCAUGCUGGGCACUCUGAAAGAACUGCCAGUGAUAAGCUGGAGGAAGGUGGGGAUGACGUCAAGUCCUCAUGGCCCUUACGGGUUGGGCUACACACGUGCUACAAUGGUAGUGACAAUGAGAUGCAAAGUGGCGACGCUAAGCUAAACUCAAAAAUCUAUCUCAGUUCGGAUUGCACUCUGCAACUCGAGUGCAUGAAGCUGGAAUCGCUAGUAAUCGUAGAUCAGCGUGCUACGGUGAAUACGUUCCCGGGUCUUGUACACACCGCCCGUCACACCAUGGAAGUUGGUUCUACCUUAAAGCAGAUUGCUAACCGCAAGGAGGCGUUUGACCAAGGUAUAGUCAGCGACUGGGGUGAAGUC
rnacentral:rRNA from 1 species